ACGUAGGUGGCAAGCGUUGUCCGGAUUUAUUGGGUUUAAAGGGUGCGUAGGCGGCCCUGUAAGUCAGUGGUGAAAUAUCGCAGCUUAACUGUGAGGGUGCCAUUGAUACUGCAGGGCUUGAGUAAAGUCGAGGUAGGCGGAAUUGACGGUGUAGCGGUGAAAUGCUUAGAUAUCGUCAAGAACACCGAUAGUGAAGACAGCUUACUAGGCUUUAACUGACGCUGAGGCACGAAAGUGUGGGGAUCAAACAG
rnacentral:rRNA from 1 species